UCAGCCUGAGCCCCCUGCCACCGCCCCCUGCCAGGCAGUUUCCCCGUGAUGGCCCUGACAGCUCGGAGUUGGGUUCCGCCCCUGACAAUCAGCCUGCUUUUCAACUAGUCAGGGUUCCGUGCACUUCAGCAGGUUAGAAAUAGCAGCAGUGCCCACACUGCGCCUCCUGUUGCCAUGACUGCCUCAGAGACAGUCCCCCACCUGCAGGCAGACGCCCCCACUCCCCCGGACAAGUCACCAUGGUGGCCAGGACAAGAAGGAGGGCCUGGGGGCCGGCUGCCCUUGGGAGUGGUCCUGGUAGGCCGUCCUCAGCCUGCACCGUCAACCAGGAAGACAUCAGGUGGAAAAGCUCGCCUCAGGUGAGCCCUAAAUCCAGUGAUGGGUUAAGAAACGCCCAGAGGAGAGACACAGGGAGAAAAGAAGACCAAGUGAAGACAGAAGCAGAGAUUGGAGUGAUACUGCCACAAGCCAAGGAAUGCCAGAAGCCACAGAAACUAGAAAAGGCAUGGAAGGAUUCUCCCCCAGAACCUUUGGAAGACUGUAUUCCUGCCAAUACUUUGAUUUUGUACUUCUGGUCUUCAGAACCAUGAUGUAGGACAACCAUCAAAAGACAGAAAGUCCCUCAAGAGUAGGAACCGUGGCUAACUCAUCCUUGUACCUCUAGUGCCCAAGACAAAAAUAAACAAUAAAUGUUUGUUGAAUGAAUAAA